UUGGAGACUGGAAUGAACGGUUUAAUUAUUAAAUAUAAGUUUGUGUGUUUAAAUAGUAGUUUAAAGUUUAAGUAAAAAUUCUUUGAUAAACAAAAGGACGACAAGACCCUAAAAGCUUUAUAAUAAGCUAUUUUAUAGUGAAAUAAAAUAAAAUUAAUUUACUGGGGUAGUAAAUUUAUUUAGUUAAAUAAAAUUUAAAAGAAUCUUUAUAUAAAGAUUUAUUGGUUUAGUUACUUUAGGGAUAACAGUGUAAUAUAUUUGAAGAGUCCUUAUCGAUAAAUAUGUUUGCAACCUCGAUGUUGAAUUAGAAAGUCUAUAUGAAGCAAAAAAUAUUUAAGAAAGUUUGUUCAACUUUUAAAUUUCUACAUGAUCUGAGUUCAAACCGG
rnacentral:rRNA from 1 species